GGGAAGGGGCGGCUCUCGAGUAGCCGGUAGAGCUCGGCGUACUCGCCCCGCUGGAAGGCCACCAGGGCCCGCGCGCGCAACACCGGGUCGCUGCCACGUAGGCGCUCGGCCGGGGGCAGUGCGCCCAGGAAGCGGCUCAAGCGGCCGGCGUGGCCCGCCUGGAGCAGCGCCUCGCAGACGCACGCCACCUGCUCGGGCGAGAAGCGGAGGCCCGUGGGCGGUUCGGAAGCGGCCUCGGGGGGCGACCCGGGGACGCCCGGGGAUCCCGGGCCCUCAGCUCCCGCAGCCGCUGCGCCCGCCCCGGCCCCGGCCGCCGCCGCCGCCUCACCCUCGGCCGCCUGCAAAGUCUGCAAGAGCUGGCGCGCUUCCUCCUCCUCCUCUUCGGUCGCCGCCGCCGCCGCCACCGCCUCCCCCCCAGCCGCCGGCCCCGCGCUCGGCUCCGCAGGCAAGGUAGCCAUGUUUUGCAACUUUGGGAAGUUCCUCCCUCCCUCUCUUCCUCCCUCGGGCUUUCCCCAGCCUCCUCCCCCACCUGUCCCCCCUUUUCGCCCCCACUCCCCGCUCUUCUCGAUCUUCUUUCUGGCCGACCCUGCGCCCCACGCCGGGAAGGCGAGAUCCAGCUCUCCACUCGGGUCUCUGUCCCCUUGUGUGUGUCCGUCCCCCUCCCGUCUGUCUGUGAUUCUCCCUUUGUUUUCCCUCCGCCUCUGGCCGCGCUUUCUGCCUCCCCCCAGCGUGUGCUUCUGGCUCAGGGCCUCAGUUUCCCCAUCGGGACAACGCAGAAGGUAACGGGCCGUCCAGGAGGACUAAGGGCGCGAAGCCUCCGCCCCGAGACUGAGCUUCUGCACGCCUCCGUCUCCAGGGUCCUCUGCAGGCCCCCACAUUCCCCAUCUCGGCCUGCGCUCCGCCCCUCGGAAUUCCCGGCUCCGCAGGGGGGGCGGGUCUGGCCGGGAGGAGGGGCGGGGAACGGGCUAGAAAGUUUGCAGCAACUUUUCUCGAGCUUGCGUCCCAGGAGCGGAUGCGCGUGGCGUGCGCAGGCGCAGUGGAAGGAGGAUGGCCGCGCGCGCUGCCAGCCCAGCCCCCUCUUCUCGACGCUCGGUGGCACAGCUGGGCCACAGCUGGGCGGGGGCGGUGCCUCCGGGUGGCCCGCUCGCCCUCCUAUUGGCCGGACGCCAAAGCCCCGCCCCGUGGCUUUUCCUCCCCCAACCCUGAUUCGGCCGCUUCGCAUCCCGCUAGCUCCUCCCAGACCUUCGGCCGCCUCCACACGCCUCCGGAUUGGCCCGCUGCGGAGCCUCCGGCCCACAACGCAAACCGCGGACACUGUGGAGUCCAGAGCUUUGGGCAGAUGGAGGGCCUUUUAUUCGCGAGGGUCGGGGGUGGGGGUCCUAGGUGGGGACAGACAAUAAAUACCGAGGAAUGUCGGGGU
ensembl:lncRNA novel transcript, antisense to SIX5